rnacentral:sRNA from 1 species
AAGACUGCGAGCUCCCCGCAUCCCCUCACACUCCCUCUGGCCGGCCCAGGGCGCCUUCAGCCCAAUCUCCCCAGCCCCCCGGGCGCCACGGAACCCGCUCGAUUUCGCCGCCAACUGGUAGACAUGGAGACCCCUGCCUGGCCCCGGGUCCCGCGCCGCGAUACCGCCGUCGCUCGGACGCUCCUGCUCGGCUGGGUCUUCGCCCAGGUGGCCGGCGCUUCAGGUUUGGGUAGAGGCAAUCCAAAAGGGCUGGAUUGCUGCUUAGAUUGGAGCAGGUACAACGUUGUGCAUGCCCCGUAUUUCUACGAGGUGUUCGGGACGGCGUAGAGACUGGGACCUGCUGCGUACUGGCAAAGCAGACCUUCAUAAUAAAUAAUCCUGAUCCAAUACAGCCGACGGUGUGACAGGCCACACGUCCCCGUGGGUCUCUGUGGAAGUUUCAGUGUAGCGACGUUUCAGAUAAAAGUGGAAAAAGUGAAGUUUGGCUUUUUUCAUUUGUAUGCAGUCCUAACUCUUGUCACACGUGUGGGAUUUGCCUUUUUCCGUAACUUACUGAAAACCCUUCCUGGCGGGCUGAACCUGACUCUUCCUGAGCUGAGUCCUGGACUGGCACACUGAUGGCUCUGGGCUCUUCCCGGUCAAGUUAUAACAAGGCUUUGCCCAUGAAUAAUUUCAAACGAAAAUGUCAAGAUCCUUGCCGGUGUCCUGGGAUUACAAGGCACUACAAAUACUGUGGCAGCAUAUAAUUUAACUUGGAAAUCAACUAAUUUCAAGACAAUUUUGGAGUGGGAACCCAAACCCAUCAAUCAAGUCUACACUGUUCAAAUAAGCACUAAGUCAGGAGAUUGGAAAACCAAAUGCUUUUACACAACAGACACAGAGUGUGACCUCACCGACGAGAUUGUGAAGGAUGUGAAGCAGACGUACUUGGCACGGGUCUUCUCCUACCCGGCAGGGAAUGUGGAGAGCACCGGUUCUGCUGGGGAGCCUCUGUAUGAGAACUCCCCAGAGUUCACACCUUACCUGGAGACAAACCUCGGACAGCCAACAAUUCAGAGUUUUGAACAAGUGGGAACAAAAGUGAAUGUGACCGUAGAAGAUGAACGGACUUUAGUCAGAAGGAACAACACUUUCCUAAGCCUCCGGGAUGUUUUUGGCAAGGACUUAAUUUAUACACUUUAUUAUUGGAAAUC